GGGAGCUCUACUUGGAAAGGAAGUCUGAAUUAGUCUCAUGGAUUUAAUGGCGCUAACUUAACAUUUUUCAAAUGGAUUUUGUAGUAGAAUCCAAUUAUUAGAGGAAGUCACUUGGUUGCAAAGCCAUAUACUAGAGAAUAGUCAAACACCACGUGCUAGUUUUGGAAUGUGCAUUUCCCAAGUGAAUAGAAAUUACUUCACCAAAAAGAUUUUACACAAUUCAUGAUACUUAGAGAAAUAUGAUUGUAUCAUUGGAGAAAAAAGCUCACCUCUGUAAAUGCUACAUUUCACAUUCACUAGUAAAUCAGUGUAAUUCCUUAAUUAUUUGGGGGGAUACAAAAGAAUAAUCUGUCAAUAGAAUAGAACUGCUUAUUCCUAACUGUAUUUAGGAAUGAAUACAUACUAUAAUUCAAGAGACUUGGGUUCAAUCCCUGGGUAGGGAAGAUCCCCUAGAGGGGAGCAUGGCAACCCACUCCAGUAUUUUUGCCUGGAGAAUCCCAUGGAAAGAGGAGCCUGGUGGGCUACAGUCCAUGGGGUUGCAAAGAGUCAGACAUGACUGAAGUGAUUUCGCAUGCAUGCAUGAUUUAAGGUAUUACUGAAUUUUGAAGAACUGCUCAAUAAAUUAGUAGUAUUAAUAAAAUUGUACUCUUUUUACAAUGCAUUUGCCUCAGCACACAUGCAGAGUUAAAAACAUAAAUUUAUUUUAAAAUACACCAAAUAACACAGAUUAGUUAUUAUGAUUUUAAAAGCCUAAUUUCCAAUAGCAUUAAAUCCAACACCAGUUAUAUGUUGUAUAUAACUAAAAUUUUGAAAGCCUUGCACACAAAAUGAGAGACUUAUUAAAAAAUGCCUUUUUUUUUCUUUUUGCCAAAAAAGGUUCUACAACUCAUUGCUAAUUAUUAUAUUCCUUUAGGGGUACUUUGAGGCGCUUUCAAAGACGUAUUUGUAGCAGUUACAUCUAAAUUAGAGCAGAACAUUGUGUCAGAUAUUUUGCUAUAUCACAAAAUGUUGUAGUACUGUAUUUUAUAAUAAAACCAAGUUAUCAAGUAUUCUGGUAUAUUACAUAUUAUUAUGCCAAAAAAAUCACUUUCUAGAACUCUGUUAUUCUGUACUUAAUAUUUCAAGAAAAUAAUGGGUAUUUCAGUCAGAGCAAGAAAGUAUAAUGCAAUACAUGACAUUCAAUUGAUCUUUAGUCACAAUCCAUUUAGGUAUUUGACAAAGAAACUAGCAAUCACAAGCUCGAAUGCAUACAUUCUCAAGGACAAAAUGGCAAACACUUAAUACACAAAGACAUGGUCACUGGGGCAAGUUAGCUGCUGCCUGGCUGAACAGGAUCAACUUGCCAAUCAAUGCUCAUCGGAUUUUAGCUUUUGUUCUUGGUUGUUCCUGGCGGGGGAAGUGCUACAGGUCAGUUGAUGUCGCCUCCCCUUCGUGUGGGGGAUUUGCUUACAGCCAGUGCAUGGUAUAAUGAAUUCUCUGGAAGCAGGGUUGAGUCAGAAGCUUAGAGAUGCACCUUACUGUCUUUAAAACUGCUGUUAUACAAUGUUCUGAACACUGUGAUCUUUCAAAUGUAUUUUCUGUAUUAGUUUUGUACUGUUAGAAAAUAAUAUGCCAUAAACUGGACUCUAUAGUGUUUAAAGCAAUGUUAUUUAUUGGCUUAUCACCCCCUGCCUGUUUAUGUACAGUCUACUUAAUAUAAAACCUGUGAUAAUCCUUUGCCUUAAAAAUAAAAUCUAAUGCUAAAUAUUGAGUGUGCUCUAACAUAAUUUUAAGCUAC
ensembl:lncRNA